UACAGAGGGUGCGAGCGUUGUUCGGAAUUAUUGGGCGUAAAGCGCUGGUAGGUGGUUUGUUAAGUCGCGUGUGAAAAGCUCCAGGCUCAACCUGGAAAGUGCGCGCGAAACUGGCGAACUUGAGUGCCGGAGAGGGUCGUGGAAUUCCCAGUGUAGAGGUGAAAUUCGUAGAUAUUGGGAGGAACACCAGAGGCGAAGGCGACGACCUGGAAGGUUACUGACACUGAGCAGCGAAAGCGUGGGGAGCAAACAGG
rnacentral:rRNA from 1 species